UACGUAGGGACCAAGCGUUGUUCGGAUUUACUGGGCGUAAAGGGCGCGUAGGCGGCGUGACAAGUCACUUGUGAAAUCUCUGGGCUUAACCCAGAACGGCCAAGUGAAACUGUCGUGCUAGAGUGCGGAAGGGGCAAUCGGAAUUCUCGGUGUAGCGGUGAAAUGCGUAGAUAUCGAGAGGAACACCUGAGGUGAAGACGGGUUGCUGGGCCGACACUGACGCUGAGUGCGCGAAAGCGUGGGGAGCGAACAGG
rnacentral:rRNA from 1 species